UCGACAAGAACUGUCUGGCUUGCUGCAUUCUGGGUGUUCUGACUAUUACUGAUGGCCAUGUGAAAAAUGUGAGAGCGUUACCUGGGCCAUCAAGCUACACCUGGUACUGAAAUAAUCCAGGUAGCCAAGCAUGGUAUUUCGCCUUUUGUUGGCUAUGCCACAUUACUGGUUGAUGACACUUGAAAGACACCGUGUAUUUGAGACAACAGCAAAAUCAACAUGGUCCUUAAUACUUCUAAAAUGAUCUGUUGCCAGCCAGCUGACAGUUGUUUGGCUGAAAUUCUUUGUCAACAUUAUUAAUUAACAAUGAGUUGAUGUCUGCUACUUGUUAUGAGUUCAUUUGAAGCCAUGCUCUAACUAGAAGAAGG